AUUGAACGCUGGCGGCAUGCCUUACACAUGCAAGUCGAACGGUAACGCGGGGGCAACCCUGGCGACGAGUGGCGAACGGGUGAGUAAUACAUCGGAACAUAUCCAGUAGCGGGGGAUAACCUAUCGAAAGAUUGGCUAAUACCGCAUACGAUCUACGGAUGAAAGCGGGGGACCGCAAGGCCUCGCACUAUUGGAGUGGCCGAUGUCAGAUUAGCUAGUUGGUGGGGUAAAAGCCUACCAAGGCGACGAUCUGUAGCUGGUCUGAGAGGACGAUCAGCCACACUGGAACUGAGACACGGUCCAGACUCCUACGGGAGGCAGCAGUGGGGAAUUUUGGACAAUGGGCGCAAGCCUGAUCCAGCCAUGCCGCGUGAGUGAAGAAGGCCUUCGGGUUGUAAAGCUCUUUCGGUGAAGACGAAACGGUUAGCGUUAAUAACGCUGACUAAUGACGGUACUCACAGAAGAAGCACCGGCUAACUACGUG
rnacentral:rRNA from 1 species